UACUACACAAAAAAAGCCACUAAUAGAAAUGCACUAUAGUGCUGCAUUUUAAACAGAAUAGUUACAGAAACAUAACAGUAAUUUAUUAUUUUUGCAUGUAGAAAUUCCAAUAAUAGAAUUGCCAUAGUUUAUAUUUUUGGAAAAACAUACUAUGCCUGUUUAAAAGUUGUUAUGCAGGCUGACUAAUGUUCCACAAAAUUUAUAGUAUUAACUUCCUUGAUAUUUUUAUGACUUAAACUCUUUAUAUAAACAAAGUUUUGAUAUUUUACAGAUAAAGACUUUACAUGUAUUGAAUGUUUGUAUAGAAUUUGAAUUAAGUUUUAAUUGUUACGUAAACAUUUCUAGGUUAAAAAACAAUUAAUUGCACCACAUAAUAUUGCAACAUUGAUACUUAUAGUGGCUAAAAUGUCUUUGCCUUCAUGUUAUUAUGUUUAUAUUCAGUGGACAUGUACAUAUUAUUUUGACACAACAUUGGUUUAGUCAUGAUGAGACGAGCUUCACAUUUAAGCUAAAAGUUCCUGAUCAAUCCCAAGAUGAUGUCAGACCUCAUGCUGCUUGACUACACAGAUGUGCCUCCUGUUAUGUUAGCCCUUACUUUCAGAAUGCAUUUUUUGAAGAUGGACACUCAGAUGGCCAGGUCUUACAGUCCCCAUCAUCACAAUGUCCUAAUCCAGAUCUGCCACUGAAUUUCCAUUCAUCCAUAAAGCAUUAGAUCAAGAUCUCUAGCUCCUGACCAUGACAUCAUCUUGGAAACCCAGAAGCAUUUGGACCUUUGUGCCAAUAAUUGUGCAACAUAUGUUAAUUUACUUGCAUUUAUAGUCCACUGGAUAUAAUUAUUGUUGAUAAUGAGGUUAUUGUGAAAAACAAAACCAAGUAUAGCUUAGAUUUAUGUUGUCCACAGAAAACAUUUUCUCUGCAUCAGCUGUUGUUUCAAACUAUGUACAUUUUGUUUUAUUUUUUGUCUUGAUUUUUCAUAUGCAUCUUAUGAAUUUGUUUUAAAAAAUAUAUCAUCUGCCUGCAUGUUUGAUGGAUAUUCAAAUGGCAUUGGAUAUUUUAGGAGACUACUGUAAACUAAAGACAGAUAAAAAAAGAAAAAAAAGAAAAGAAAUGUCACUACUGGUUAGUUUAAACUGCAUGGAGAAAGUUCCAAUGACAUGUUCUUGUAAAUAAAUAUACUUAAAUGAGUCAACUUUGUCAUUAAUAAAUUAUACAAUUGUAUAUGCAUCUUUAUAACAGUUACACUAGUACAAUAAAAUACAAACGUUUGCAAAGAUCCCCACACACACACACAUGUAUAUGUUGCAUAUUCCUAGCAUUUAUAGACUCAGUUCA
rnacentral:lncRNA from 1 species